GGAAUAAAGGCAUGUGCCACCAUGCCUGGCCCUGGGAGGUUCUUAUGUGAGCCAGGAUGGCACGAAAGGAAGGGGUGCUAGAUUCGAAUCCAGGGAUUUGUGCAGGCUUAGGCUUAGGCAGACAGUUUACCAACUGGGGUCUAGUUCUAUCUCCAGCCAUUGACUUUUUUUUUUUUUUUUUUUUUUUUUGUGAGAGACUGGGUCUUAUGUAGCCCAGGCUAGCCCACACACUAUGUAGUUCCUUGACUUUCCUAAGCCUCUUACCUCUGUCUUUUGGGUGCUAGAAUUAUAGGUAUGCACUAUUGGAGGGGAACAUGAGAGAAGUGGAGAGAUUUGUGUGAGGGAAAAUUAGGAAAGAGGAUUCGAAGAAAACUGAGAAUUUCUCAGACCUGUUGAGCAAUAGCCACCUAGGGCAUAGAAACUCAAGGACAUCCACACAUGGGGCAAAGAAUGCCACCUACCCUCCUAGUGAAGUUGCAGAGCACUGAGAAAUGCAGAGAGGGGCUAAGGGUGUAGCGGUAGAGUGCUUGCUUCGUCUGUCCUGAGUUCCAUCCCCAGCACCAAUUAACAGUGGGCAAGCUCAACACGUGCAAACCAGCAGUGGGGAGGCAGAGGCAGGACGAUAAACUCAAGGUCUGUGUUUCUGUUCAAUACUAGCCUAGAUACAGUUCUGGAUCUGAAGAUAAAAGCAAAUUCUUUCAUACUCCUUCCCCUCCGUCAAACCGUGUACAACAGGAGAUCUGCUUGCCUGUGCUAAACCCAGGAAAAGGUUGGUUUUGGGAUCUUCUCUGCAGCCCGGAUGGUGGGGCGGGACCUUGCUCAGGUUUACCACCUGCAGUUGGCUGGUGUGGCAGGGACAUCGGCGGGGAGACACAAGGGACAUUUAACAGGCCUAUGCUGCAGCUGGGUUCUCGAUGCAGUGAACGUCUGUGGGUGUCUGUUAAGCUCAGAGGCCCGCAGCGGAGGAGCAAGGAAUGUCCCACACGAACCAGUACCACUCCGCGCCGGCUUUCGCGCGCUGAGCCUGCCAGCUUCCCCGGAAGCCGCGCGCGCAGGCGCGAUAUGGGGGCGCGCCCCCUGGCGGCCGGCGGCGGCAGUGCGCAGGGUCCGCCUACUGGUCGCGCGCCGCCGCCUCCGCCGCCGCUUGAGCCCAACAUGGCGAUGCACAACAAGACGGCGCCGCCGCAGAUCCCAGACACCCGGCGGGAGCUGGCCGAGCUGGUGAAGCGGAAGCAGGAGCUGGCGGAAACGCUUGCAAACUUGGAGAGACAGAUCUAUGCUUUUGAAGGAAGCUACCUGGAAGACACUCAGAUGUAUGGCAAUAUUAUCCGUGGCUGGGAUCGGUAUUUGACAAAUCAAAAAAACUCCAAUAGCAAAAACGACCGGAGGAACCGGAAGUUCAAGGAGGCCGAGCGUCUCUUCAGCAAAUCCUCAGUCACGUCGGCUGCUGCAGUAAGUGCCUUGGCAGGGGUUCAGGACCAGCUCAUCGAAAAGAGGGAACCAGGAAGUGGGACGGAAAGCGAUACUUCCCCAGACUUCCACAAUCAGGAAAACGAGCCUGCGCAGGAGGACCCUGAAGACCUGGACGGCUCCGUUCAGGGAGUGAAGCCUCAGAAAGCUGCCUCUUCCACCUCCUCAGGGAGCCACCACAGCAGCCACAAAAAGCGGAAGAAUAAAAACCGGCACAGUUCUCUGAGUAUGCUGCCUUCAGAUACGGGGAAACACUUAAAGCUCCUAAAUGCGGGCAUUCCUUCGUAGGAACCUUCUGAGCACUGUUACUUUUGGAGUGGGAAAUGAGAUGGGAAUGACACCAGUGGACAGAGAGGUCAGGUGUCUCAGGGGACUUAGUGGCCGCUCUGCCUGGGUUUGUAUGCUACCGCUGGGCCUUAACUCAGGGUAAUGAAGUACCUAGAGCAAGGGGCUCUCCCUCACCCUGGGUUUGGAAGCCUGAACACUGUGGGGUCAAAGGGGCACAGGGCUGUGUGGGGCUGGCUCCCUAUCCUCUGGUUGGCUGUGACCCAUGUUGCUUUAGAAACCUGUGGGGGUGUCCCCUCCUGCACCUAAGGUGUUACACUGUGACCUUCACCUGCCCGGCACUGUGGAUAUUAUAGAGUUAAAUUUAACUGGUUCGAACCUCUUUGGCAUCAACAGAUUCUUGAAUUCUUUUAAACUUUUCUUGUUUUUUUAAAUUGCAGAAAUAGUAUUUUCCCCCAAUAAAUAGUGAUGAAGGAUUACCGCUUUAUGUUUUUCUACAAACCAAAAACCACUGUGCUAACCUCUCAAACGAUAGUGAGAAGCAGCAAGACUUAUCCCCUACCCCUCUGGUAUGUAUAUUAGGUUAGGCUGGGAAGUUUUUUUAAAAACAGAAAAACGUGAUGGAGGAUUGAUCUGAAGUUAAACAAAAAGCCCCGAGCUGACUAUUAGAAGACUUGCUAGCAGGAGCUUCUAGGCUGUGAAGCCCUGCUUCCCCUCUGACCUCACAGCGACAAACGUCCCUCGCCUGACUGUGCCAUCUGCCUCUGCCCCCCAGACCCAGUGCCUGUAACUGGCUCGUCUGUCCUAACUGUAGUGACAAGUCCUCCCUAGGAGACUUUGGGUUGUUCGCUGUCCAUCGUUAGUUGAACCGCGGGGAGACCUGUCCUCGGUCCCGGUUCCUGCGGGCGGCUAACUGUGCAUUUCUCCCUUCUUAGAAUGAAUGUCUCCCCCCAAACUGGCUGGCACCAGCUCCAUCUGUGACCCCCCCCAUCGAGGAGUGCACACCUCUGGUUUUGUGUUACUCGGAAAGUAGAGCCCAAGGUCCACUGCAGAUGGAGGCUGUAAAUAAUCGCCAUUCUCCUGUCUUGUUCCGUGUCGUAUUGUGUUUUUUAUUGUUGUUUUUGCCAUCUGAUUUACUUUUGGGCCAUUGUGUGAUGCCUGCACCUUCCUGAUGACAUAUCUGACCGUCUGUCCCAUGUGGUGUUGAUAUUCACAAUUGAAACUAAAGUGGCUUUUAGAAGGAAA